UUGCCCGAUGAACCUGAAUAUCCGUUAUGGAAAAUUCAUCAUUAGAGUUGUAAUAUUUAAACAAUAUUAUAAUAAUAGUGUGCAUUUUUUCCAUAUAAGGACAUUGUAAUCUAUUAGUAUCAAUAAUUUAUCAAAAAAUUUAAGAAAAUAGUUUAUUUAAAUUAGAAUGCUUGCAUUUUAACAUAAAAUAAAUUUCAUAAAUUUGAUAAAGUGCUGAUAGAUUUAUAUGAAUACAGUGCGUUAAUUUUUCGGAAUUAUAUAAUGGCAUGAUUAUCAUUGAUUUUUAUGUUUAUUAUAUGCAC
rnacentral:rRNA from 1 species